rnacentral:rRNA from 1 species
GACGAACGCUGGCGGCGUGCUUAACACAUGCAAGUCGAACGGGUCUGCCCUGUUUUUUGCGGGGUGGGUCAGUGGCGAACGGGUGAGUAACACGUGAGUAACCUGCCCCUCACUUCUGGAUAACCGCUUGAAAGGGUGGCUAAUACGGGGUGUUCUGGCUGUGCCGCAUGGUGUGGCUGGGAAAGAUUCACUUUUGUGGUGUUUUGGUGGGGGAUGGGCUCGCGGCCUAUCAGCUUGUUGGUGGGGUGAUGGCCUGCCAAGGCUUUGACGAGUAGCCGGCAUAGGAGGGUGGGCGGUAACAGUGGGGAUGAGAUACGGACAAGACUCCGGGGGGAGGCAGCAGUGGAGGGUAUUGCACAGUGGGAGGAAGGCUGAUGCAGCGACGUCGCGUGAGGGAUGGAGGCCUGAGGGUUGUGAACCUCUUUCGCCGGUGAAGAAGGUCCUGCUCUUUGUGGUGGGGUUGACGGUAGCCGGGUUAUGAAGCGCCGGCUAACUACGUG